UCCUACGGGGCGCAGCAGUGAGGAAUAUUGGUCAAUGGGCGAGAGCCUGAACCAGCCAAGUCGCGUGAGGGAGUACUGCCCUAUGGGUUGUAAACCUCUUUUGUCGGGGAGCAAAAGCCGGACGUGUCCGUCUGUGAGAGUACCCGAAGAAAAAGCAUCGGCUAACUCCGUGCCAGCAGCCGCGGUAAUACGGAGGAUGCGAGCGUUAUCCGGAUUUAUUGGGUUUAAAGGGUGCGCAGGCGGAAUGUCAAGUCAGCGGUAAAAUUUCGGGGCUCAACCCCGUCGUGCCGUUGAAACUGGCGUUC
rnacentral:rRNA from 1 species